UACGUAGGGUGCUAGCGUUGUUCGGAAUCAUUGGGCGUAAAGCGCGUGUAGGUUGUUAGGUAAGUCGAUUGUGAAAUCCCUGGGCUCAACCGAGGAAGUGCAGUCGAAAACUACCUAGCUAGAAGACGGCAGAGGAAGGUGGAAUUCCUAGUGUAGAGGUGAAAAUUCGUAGAUAUUAGGAGGAAUACCGGUGGCGAAGGCGGCCUUCUGGACCGAUACUGACGCUGAGGCGCGAAAGCGUGGGGAGCAAACAGG
rnacentral:rRNA from 1 species